rnacentral:sRNA from 1 species
AUGGACCACGCGUCCACUGCGGUUCUGGCGCUGCGUCCGCGCCCACCUGACAGGGGCUCGCUACGUUUUGUUAGCC